rnacentral:rRNA from 1 species
ACGGGAGGCAGCAGUGGGGAGUAUUGCACAAUGGGGGAAACCCUGAUGCAGCGACGCCGCGUGAGCGAUGAAGUAUUUCGGUAUGUAAAGCUCUAUCAGCAGGGAAGAUAAUGACGGUACCUGACUAAGAAGCACCGGCUAAAUACGUGCCAGCAGCCGCGGUAAUACGUAUGGUGCAAGCGUUAUCCGGAUUUACUGGGUGUAAAGGGAGCGCAGGCGGUACGGCAAGUCUGAUGUGAAAGCCCGGGGCUCAACCCCGGUACUGCAUUGGAAACUGUCGAACUAGAGCGUCGGAGGGGUAAGUGGAAUUCCCAGUGUAGCGGUGAAAUGCGUAGAUAUUAGGAGGAACACCAGUGGCGAAGGCGACUUACUGGACGAUAACUGACGCUGAGGCUCGAAAGCGUGGGGAGCAAACAGGAUUAGAUACCCUGGUA